rnacentral:misc_RNA from 1 species
UUUCCGUAGGUGAACCUGCGGAAGGAUCAUUAUUGGAUUUUGAAACUUCAGGCUGCUGCUGGCUCUCCUCGGAGGGCAUGUGCACGCUUGUUGUCCAUUAUUUCUCCCACUGUGCACAAAUUGUAGACCUUUCAGUAGGCCUAUGUUGUUUUUCACAAUCUCUGAAUGUGAUAGAAUGGUUUUGAAUCUUGGGAAAUACAAUACAACUUUCAGCAACGGAUCUCUUGGCUCUC